rfam:Schistosoma mattheei strain Denwood, Zambia genome assembly, scaffold: SMTD_scaffold0003418
ACCUAGCCGACGAGUCCCAAAUAGGACGAAACGCGCAUCCUGAAU